GGGGAUUUAGCUUGGUUGGCAUAAGCACCUGCCUUGCAAGCAUGUGGUCGUGAGUUCAAUCCCCG
rnacentral:tRNA from 1 species